rnacentral:rRNA from 1 species
GACGAACGCUGGCGGCGUGCUUAACACAUGCAAGUCGAACGGAAAGGCCUCUUUCGGGGGGUACUCGAGUGGCGAACGGGUGAGUAACACGUGAGUAACCUGCCCUUGACUUUUGGAUAACUUCAGGAAACUGGGGCUAAUACCGGAUAGGAGCUCCUGCUGCAUGGUGGGGGUUGGAAAGUUUCGGCGGUUGGGGAUGGACUCGCGGCUUAUCAGCUUGUUGGUGGGGUAGUGGCUUACCAAGGCUUUGACGGGUAGCCGGCCUGAGAGGGUGACCGGCCACAUUGGGACUGAGAUACGGCCCAGACUCCUACGGGAGGCAGCAGUGGGGAAUAUUGCACAAUGGGUGGAAGCCUGAUGCAGCAACGCCGUGUGCGGGAUGACGGCCUUCGGGUUGUAAACCGCUUUCGCUCAUGACGAAGCUUUGUGUGACGGUAGUGGGUAAAGAAGCACCGGCUAACUACGU